UACAGAGGUCUCAAGCGUUGUUCGGAUUCAUUGGGCGUAAAGGGUGUGUAGGUGGCGCCGUAAGUCGGGUGUGAAAUUUCGGAGCUUAACUCCGAAACUGCAUUCGAUACUGCGGUGCUCGAGGGUUGGAGGGGGGACUGGAAUGCUUGGUGUAGCAGUGAAAUGCGUAGAUAUCAAGCGGAACACCAGUGGCGAAGGCGAGUCCCUGGACAACUCCUGACACUGAGGCACGAAAGCUAGGGGAGCAAACAGG
rnacentral:rRNA from 1 species